rnacentral:lncRNA from 13 species
GUGUAAAUAAGGAACUGAGGAUAUUCCUUGUUGUAGUGUAAAUGGAUACUCCUUGUUGUAGUGUAAAUAAGGAACUGAGGAUAUUCCUUGUUGUAGUGUAAAUAAGGAACUGAGAGGAUACUCCUUGUUGUAGUGUAAAUAAGGAACUGAGGAUACUCCUUGUUGUAGUGUAAAUGGAUACUCCUUGUUGUAGUGUAAAUAAGGAACUGAGGAUACUCCUUGUUGUAGUGUAAAUAAGGAACUGAGGAUAUUCCUUGUUGUAGUGUAAAUGGAUACUCCUUGUUGUAGUGUAAAUAAGGAACUGAGGAUACUCCUUGUUGUAGUGUAAAUAAGGAACUCAGAGGAUACUCCUUGUCGUAGUGUAAAUAAGGAACUGAGAGGAUUCCUCUCGGAUGGUUAAAGCAGCGAUUGAAUCUGUGAUGACGUCCCAUGCUGAAAUGAGACUCCAGACACAGACAUGCUCUCAUUCAUCUCAAGGCUGUUUAGCCACGCUUUCUGUUUUACUCUGUACCAGUGUGUCGGCUCGCCAUUCAGUUGUUUGCCAUCCAGGCUUCUACAGCCUUGUUUCCCCUUCCUGCAGUAAUACAGACUGUGUGUGUGAGAAAGAGGUAUAUCAUUAUGAUGAUGAUGAUGAUGACAGCCUGGUGAUUAAUAUGACCAUAGUAUGUGGUGAUGGAGUUGGCCUGAUGAAUGUGUAAAACACAUACCUCUGUGUAUUAUAGUAAUAAAGAGGCUCAAUUAGUGACCAGUUCUCUCACAACUCCUGCUUUCACAACUCCUAGGUUCACAACUCCUAGGUUCACAACUCCUAGGUUCACAACUCCUGCUUUCACAACUCCUACGUUCACAACUCCUACGUUCACAACUCCUACGUUCACAACUCCUGCUUUCACAACUCCUGCUUUCACAACUCCUGCUUUCACAACUCCUGCUUUCACAACUCCUAGGUUCACAACUCCUAGGUUCACAACUCCUAGGUUCACAACUCCUGCUUUCACAACUCCUGCUUUCACAACUCCUGCUUUCACAACUCCUAGGUUCACAACUCCUAGGUUCACAACUCCUAGGUUCACAACUCCUAGGUUCACAACUCCUAGGUUCACAUUCCUUCCAUUUUACACUCAUUCACAGACACACUUAUGUUCGGACAUGCUUGGAAUGUACGCUCCCUUCGCAAGUAGGAUUUUAAUGUUUCACCACAUCAAUCUAUUCACAGCCUGGGCUGACGCUAUGUCAUCUGUAAUGUAUAGCCUGGGCUGACGCUAUGUCAUCUGUAAUGUAUAGC